UCCCGUGCGAGGGCGGUUCCGGCAACUUGCGUCGAGCGUGGAAUGGGCGAUUGCAAGUUCGUGCGUGUGCGCGACCUCGGUCAGCUAUUGGCAGCCCCGUAGACUGGAAGUCUGGAACCGCCCCACUUCCCCCACUUCCGGUGUUUAAAUUCCUUCCGCGGCUAAAAAAAAGGCCAGAUACGAGCUCUGCAGAUCAGUCUCCUCUCCGCUGCUCUCCUCUUCCCUGCUCUCCUCUCUUCCGACAUUGGUGGUAAUCAAAAAUUUCUACAGUUUCUCCUCCGUCGUCCUGCUAAUGGCAUUCUUCCUUCUCAGGUGUUCUGUCUUGUCAAUUUGUAGAACUCGAAAAACAAGUGAAGCGAGGAGACCUGGAGGAGUUCCGGUGAGCUACAUGUUAGUUCUCUUCCUCUCUUCUUCGGGCGCUGUUUCUUUGCAAUAUUCUACACUUCAGUUCAAAACUUUCUCUUAUGUAACUCUCAUCGUCAUGUUGUUUCUUGAACUGAGUGGUUAAUGUUUGGUUUCUAGCGUUGAUUACGGUUAGUUCUUGCUUCGUUUCUUGGUAGAUGCUCACAGGUAACUGAAAUGAAGUUCGAUCUGCUACUUGGUUUUGGAUAACUACAAUUCCUCUCACUUGGUUUAUCAUGCAAUUUAAUUUAUCACGGCAAGCUGCGGUAGUGAUAAAUAUAUACCCACUUCUGAAGCUGUGCAAUUAGAAAAACUGUGGAGGACAAGAAUUUGAUAUGUUCAUCACGUUGUAUUAGCAUAGGGACAAAUAAAGAUGCUGCUGUACAUGUUGUAGGGGGAAGUCUCCUAGGUUCAGUGAUGAAUUAUUGAUCAACACUUUAUUUUGAAAAUUGAUCUUUACAUUAUCUAAAAAUAAUCUUAUUAGAAUUUGCUACAUUCUAGAUUUGAAAUUAUAGACUGAGAUAUUUGACUUUUAGCUUUUAGUAUUAGCAUGUCUUCAUAGUAUGCUAUCAGGAGACAACUAGAAUCCGGUCCUGCUACAGAUAUAGGUGUAGCUGAAGGCAUUGCUCAAUUGUAGUCUUUGCUGGGUAUUACAUUACCCAUGAAGUUGGUGUUCAUAUGCCAAAAAAAAUCCCAUUUAAAUUCAGCUCCCUAUAUAUGAUUGAUUCAUUAUUUCUAUCCUUGGUCCUCCAGGUGCUGCCACUAAAUUAGCUUUGUGUGUCUCCUAGGUUCAGCUAUAAGUUUCAGUUUUAGUUCGAAGCGUUAAAUACUUGAAAUUAACUAGGAGGGUUCAGGUUCAGUUUGAAUUUAAGUUUCACUUUUAUUAUUUGAGUUUUAGGAUUAAGUUUCAGUUUCGUUUUAAUUUUUUCUAAGAAGGGUUGUACACUGUUGGAUGCUCGGUUUGUUUAUACAAGAGAGGGUGAUAUUAAUAGUACGGGGCUGAUGCUCGUGCUUUCUUGUGCUAGCUUCGUUUUCAGCUCAAUAGCUCAGGGAGUGUCUGGUUAUCAACAAAACAAAAAACUGACUGAGACCCAAAAAAUAUUUCAGGCAGCUGAAAAUUAGUCUCUCCCUUUAGCUUUCACUAUUUCCUGGCUACCCAGCAUGAAUAGUACAAGUAUCAGAUUGGUAUGUUCAACAAAUAAUAACCAUAGUACGUGAAUUAGUACCUAUUUGCUGUUUCUGUUAGAUACUGUACCAAGUUUUGCUCUGCCAUGGGAUCUAGAUAGUUAGGGGAAAUCAUGUUUCAUUUCAGAUUAUUAGAACUGAUGUUAUUUUUUCCAAACAGUAGAAGGACGAAGACGAGGAGGUGCUGGAGCUUGUCAGCCACCACUACAUCCAUCAAAACUUCCUUCGGAGGUAUUUCUUUCUCUUUUUCUGAACUUUUCUGUGUCAAACCGCAAAAAGGCUGAGAGUGUAUUUCUAUUUCUUGGUGCCCUUAAAAACCUGUCAAAGGCACCACCUUGAUCCAUAUUUUUCUAUUAUGGGUUUGUGUUCAUUGUAGUUUAACACAUGUUAAAAUAUCAUAAAAUGAUGAAUAUUGUGCACUCAAUCAACCAAGGACCAGUCAUGCCAAUUGUUUCUUUAAAUAUUCCAGAGUGGCACUCCGCACAAGAAUGUUGAAAUGGAAAAAUUAUUGCACAUGUUCUGAAAAGUAUAAUAUGAAGACAAAAAUGAUGAAUUUACAAGUAAGUCGGAUCUUAAAAGUAACAUUGAGGUGGAAAGCACAAUUAUAAAUGGUCACAACGUAAAAUAAAGCUCUGGUUCUCAGUUCUAAAUUAUUCCUUAUUUUCUUUGAGUUAACCUACAAAGUAAUACAACAUUUUGACAGUCAUUCUAUGAGUUCAUGUUUUUAAGGCUUAAAUUUGCUUGCCUGGUAAUUCUAAACCUAUAGGGUGGUAUUUACUUUAUGCGUGCCAUCGAUUAACUACUUCUAACAUUGGUCACAGGAGAAGAAGCAUAGGCAGGCUGUGAAGGAGGCUAUUGAG
rnacentral:lncRNA from 1 species